rnacentral:rRNA from 1 species
GACGGGGGGGCAAGUGUUCUUCGGAAUGACUGGGCGUAAAGGGCACUUAGGCGGUGAAUCGGGUUGAAAGUGAAAGUCGCCAAAAAGUGGCGGAAUGCUCUCGAAACCAAUUCACUUGAGUGAGACAGAGGAGAGUGGAAUUUCGUGUGUAGGGGUGAAAUCCGUAGAUCUACGAAGGAACGCCAAAAGCGAAGGCAGCUCUCUGGGUCCCUACCGACGCUGGGGUGCGAAAGCAUGGGGAGCGAACAGG